rnacentral:misc_RNA from 1 species
GAUCACAAAGUUGCAUCCAUGUCAUGACUUGUCAAUGCCAGAGGGAAUGAAUAUGGCUUAUAAUUUUCCUUACUUGGGGUUAACAGAACAAAACUCUCUUCAGUACACAUAGGGCAACAUGUGGCUUAGCCGAUUGGAACUUAUGUAUUUUCUUAAUUGGGUUAAGAAAAUAGAUAAUGCCCAACGGGUGCCAUAAAACAUAAAAAUCCAAAAUUGAAGAUCAUCAUUUCCCAGCAUUCUCAACAACCCAAAAGGUAAAGACUCCAUGCAUA